rnacentral:rRNA from 1 species
UACAGAGGGUGCAAGCGUUGUUCGGAAUUACUGGGCGUAAAGCGUGCGUAGUCGGUAUUGAGAGUCACGGGUGAAAUCCCCGGGCUUAACCUGGGAACUGCGUUUGAAACUACAAGGCUAGAGUGUGGCAGAGGGGGGUGGAAUUCCACGUGUAGCAGUGAAAUGCGUAGAGAUGUGGAGGAAUACCGAUGGCGAAGGCAGCCCCCUGGGAUAACACUGACGCUCAUGCACGAAAGCGUGGGGAGCAAACAGG